UACGAAGGGGGCUAGCGUUGCUCGGAAUUACUGGGCGUAAAGCGCACGUAGGCGGCUUUCUAAGUCGGGGGUGAAAUCCUGGAGCUCAACUCCAGAACUGCCUUCGAUACUGGAGAGCUCGAGUCCGGGAGAGGUGAGUGGAACUGCGAGUGUAGAGGUGAAAUUCGUAGAUAUUCGCAAGAACACCAGUGGCGAAGGCGGCUCACUGGCCCGGUAUUGACGCUGAGGCGCGAAAGCCAGGGGAGCAAAGCGGG
rnacentral:rRNA from 1 species